rnacentral:rRNA from 1 species
ACUCAAAUGAAUUGACGGGGGAGCGCACAACCGGUGGAGCAUGUUGUUUAAUUCGAUACGAAGCGAAAAACCUUACCCAGAUUUGACAUGUACCUGCACGGUUAUGGAAACAUAGCCUUCUUCGAGAGUGGUACACAGGUGAUGCAUGGCUGUCGUCAGCUCGUGUCGUGAGACGUCCGCUUAAGUGCGGUAACGAGCGCAACCCUUAUCCCGUGUUACAUUUCACGGGAGACGGUCCCGCUUUCCAGCGGGAAGGAAGGAGAGGACGACGUCAAGUCAGCACGUCCCUUACAUCUGGGGCCACAAACAUCCUACAAUGGAGCCGACAACAGGUUGCGACGGCGAAAGCCCGAGCCAAUCCUAAAAACGGCCCCUCAGUUCAGAUUGAGGGCUGCAAUUCGCCCUCAUGAAGUCGGAAUCGGUAGUAAUCGCAAAUCAGCAGGUUGCGGUGAAUACGUUCUCGCUCCUUGUACACACCGCCCGU